rnacentral:rRNA from 1 species
GACAGAGGGUGCAAACGUUGUUCGGAAUUACUGGGCGUAAAGCGCGUGUAGGCGGUCUCAUAAGUCGGGUGUGAAAGCCCUGGGCUCAACCCAGGAAGUGCACUCGAAACUGCGAGGCUAGAGUAUCGGAGAGGUUGGUGGAAUUCUCGGUGUAGAGGUGAAAUUCGUAGAUAUCGAGAGGAACACCGGUGGCGAAGGCGGCCAACUGGACGAAUACUGACGCUGAGACUCGAAAGCGUGGGGAGCAAACAGG